GGUGAAGGAACUAGGCAAAAUGGCACCGUAACUUCGGGAGAAGGUGCGCCGGCGAGGGUGAAGGACUUGCUCCGUAAGCUCAUGCCGGUCGAAGAUACCAGGCCGCUGCGACUGUUUAUUAAAAACACAGCACUCUGCAAACACGAAAGUGGACGUAUAGGGUGUGACGCCUGCCCGGUGCCGGAAGGUUAAUUGAUGGGGUUAGCGCA
rnacentral:rRNA from 1 species